CAGGCAGCAUGGAACAGGAAGAAGUGCAUGAACCCCACAUCUGGCUGAGGAGAUAUUGACUUCAGAUAGCUUCUGGGAGAAGGAGGGCCAGGUUUCUUUAAGUUUGGCCCCUAUAGGUUGGAAGCUCCAGGGGAUGACUCCACAUUCAGGAAUAUAUGAGUGGUGCAAACGGGACUUGGGCGACCCCACCCUAAGCUGCUAACCAGUGAGGGAGACAUCCGCCCACUUAAAAACUCCUGUCCCAGGGACAUCCCUGGGAUUGGAACUGAUGGAUCAAGAGGUAACUCCAGGUUCGCUUGACAGUGUGGAGGCUCCCGUUCACACGCCCACCAGGAAGGAUGUGGGGGCUCCAGCGGCUGCCUCUUAUAUUCAAGUCACCCAGAUACAGCCAGAGGGGAAGAGGAGGAGGGAAAGAGCACUAACUGUUGCACUGUGGGAUGCCAGUAAGCCCUGGCUUGUAAUGAACAAACUGUGCCUGCACACACAGCAACUCAACCCUGCACAGACUGGUUUUGUAUACAAGAGGAUGGAAAGAGGGCAG
rnacentral:lncRNA from 1 species